UGUAAGAAAAUAUGCAGAGGAUUCUGUGUCUGUGGAAAGGAAGCUCUUGCCGGGGAUGCGGGAAGAUGUUUCUGGAGGUGCCCGGCCCAGGGCGUCCUGGGGCAAGAAGUGGCCACAGAUGCGCAUCCCCGGCGCCCCAGCAUAGUCUGCGGCCUUCUGCCCCGUGGUUACCGUUUUCCGUGGCUUCCUCGAGACACUCCUUGCCCGGGACGCAGCCUCUGACUCCAGCGUCCACUCCAGUAAAUAGCCCCGACGUGGACACCUUGCGCAGGCAGCUUUGUUGGCAUUUCAGAUUUGGGAUGAUUUCCUCGGGCAUGAUUCCCAGAAGAGAAGUCGGGUAGGGGAAGUGCAUUUGCCUGUAAGGGCCGUGGUUGAUACAGCCAAAUAUCUGCCUGGUCCAGUGGUGCCAAUGUACCCGACCAC
rnacentral:lncRNA from 1 species